GGUGUGACUGACAAGAUUUCAAAAUUGACCCGGUGGGGUGCUUAGUUCGCCAGCUACAGUGCUGAGAGUGCCUUCGAAAAAAAUUCUUGCUCGCGCUGCCGUGCUCCACUGACCGACUUAAUUAGUUCGCGGCUGAGGCGAAAUCAAGGCGAAUGUCAAGGUGAAGAAGAGGGGAAUUAAAACUCCUCGCUAAUGAGAAGCCGCGCCGGCGAUCAUGAAGAAUUUGCAUAAACGGGGCGUUGGGCUAGGUCGGGCCGAAUUUCCGAAACUGCCACCAGUGCACGUUGCGGAGGAGACGCGCUGAGAAGACUCCACGAUUCGAUCGUACGAAGUGAAUUUAUAACACAACAAUAAAUAAAAUCAUUCAACUCUA